UGAGUCGGUCGGGCGAUCGCGUCACCGUCAGGUGCCGAGGAACGUCCGGGCUUCACAGGGCAAGGUGGUGGCUAACGGCCACCCGGGGCGACCCGCGGGACAGUGCCACAGAAAGCAGACCGCCACCCGGCUCCGGCCGUGGUGGUAAGGGUGAAACGGUGGUGCAAGAGACCACCAGCGGUGCAGGUGACUGCACCGGCUCGGUAAACCCCACCUGAAGCAAGCUCAGACAGUGCACGUCCGAGGGCGGCCCGCCCGAGUGCACGGGUAGAGCGCUAGAGGUGUCCGGCAACGGCCACCCGAGAUGGAUGAUCGCCCAUCCUCCGCGAGGAGGGGGACAGAACCCGGCGUACAGACCGACUCAUCCG
rnacentral:RNase_P_RNA from 2 species